rnacentral:rRNA from 1 species
UACGAAGGGGGCUAGCGUUGCUCGGAAUCACUGGGCGUAAAGCGCACGUAGGCGGAUUGUUAAGUCGGGGGUGAAAUCCUGGAGCUCAACUCCAGAACUGCCUUCGAUACUGGCGAUCUUGAGUCCGGGAGAGGUGAGUGGAACUCCGAGUGUAGAGGUGAAAUUCGUAGAUAUUCGGAAGAACACCAGUGGCGAAAGGCGGCUCACUGGUCCGGUACUGACGCUGAGGUGCGAAAGCGUGGGGAGCAAACAGG